rnacentral:lncRNA from 1 species
CCCUCCCAUGGGCCAGUCCAAGCUUGACACCCGUUGUUUCCCUUCACACCUCCCACGCAACCCCCUUCCUCUCUGUGACUUGGCAACAACCCAAAGCACCGCAACGGCGCGCUAAUUAGGAGGACCAAAAGCGACGCUUUCCCCUGGCCCAGUCACAAACUCCACGUUUUAGACACCCACACCCUCACAGCCACGGGCCACGUGUACCCCGCUCCGUCCCUCUGCCUGUCAGCUUAGAAUUUAAGCUCCCGAGGCCUCACACUCCAAUCAGAUUCUCCCUCAUCCUUUGCAUGCAAUGAGAGCCACCGCAACGACACGUCGAACGGCGCCAAAUACGACCGACCAGAGUACAGGGGCAAUCACGUAAAUUGCGGGUAAAAAAACAAAAAGGGCCAAACCAAUCGUGAUAGGUGUAUCCACGCAUGGCGGCCUUAUUCACACGCGUUGUAAUGAGAGGCCCUUCAGAACAAUGAGAGGCAUGCAAAGCCAGGCGUUUGAUUGGGUGUGAAGGACUUAUGCCCUUGGACUGUAAACGGUAAAAAAAGGAGGGCCCACUAGUACAGUAACUACAGAGAUAAAAUCCCACACGGAGUUACUGCUAGUCCCACAAACACGUACCCACGCGACAAGUCC